UAGGGAAUCUUCGGCAAUGGGGGGAACCCUGACCGAGCAACGCCGCGUGAGUGAAGAAGGUUUUCGGAUCGUAAAGCUCUGUUGUUAAGGAAGAACGAGUGUGAGAAUGGAAAGUUCAUGCUGUGACGGUACUUAAACAGAAAGGGACGGCUAACUACGUGCCAGCAGCCGCGGUAAUACGUAGGUCCCGAGCGUUGUCCGGAUUUAUUGGGCGUAAAGCGAGCGCAGGCGGUUAGAAAAGUCUGAAGUGAAAGGCAGUGGCUCAACCAUUGUAGGCUUUGGAAACUGUUUAACUUGAGUGCAGAAGGGGAGGGUGGAAUUCCAUGUGUAGCGGUGAAAUGCGUAGAUAUAUGGAGGAACACCGGUGGCGAAAGCGGCUCUCUGGUCUGUAACUGACGCUGAGGCUCGAAAGCGUGGGGAGCGAACAGG
rnacentral:rRNA from 1 species